AGUGAACGCUGGCGGUAGGCCUAACACAUGCAAGUCGAACGGCAGCACAGUAAGAGCUUGCUCUUACGGGUGGCGAGUGGCGGACGGGUGAGGAAUACGUCGGAAUCUACUUUUUCGUGGGGGAUAACGUAGGGAAACUUACGCUAAUACCGCAUACGACCUACGGGUGAAAGCAGGGGAUCUUCGGACCUUGCGCGAUUGAAUGAGCCGAUGUCGGAUUAGCCAGUUGGCGGGGUAAAGGCCCACCAAGGCGACGAUCCGUAGCUGGUCUGAGAGGAUGAUCAGCCACACUGGAACUGAGACACGGUCCAGACUCCUACGGGAGGCAGCAGUGGGGAAUAUUGGACAAUGGGCGCAAGCCUGAUCCAGCCAUACCGCGUGGGUGAAGAAGGCCUUCGGGUUGUAAAGCCCUUUUGUUGGGAAAGAAAAGCAGCAGGUUAAUACCCCACUGUUCUGACGGUACCCAAAGAAUAAGCACCGGCUAACUUCGUG
rnacentral:rRNA from 1 species